UGGUGGAGCGAUUUGUCUGGUUAAUUCCGAUAACGAACGAGACUCUAGCCUGCUAAGUAGUGUUGCUAUUGUUAUAUGGUUGACACUUCUUAGAGGGACAAGUGGCAUUUAGCCACGCGAAAUUGAGCAAUAACA
rnacentral:rRNA from 1 species